rfam:Ictidomys tridecemlineatus contig020648, whole genome shotgun sequence.
UGGGGUGUGGCUCAGUGGUAGGGCACUUGCCUCGUACCUGUGAGGCACUGGGUUCGAUCCUCAGCACCACAU